rnacentral:rRNA from 1 species
AUUGAACGCUGGCGGCAGGCCUAACACAUGCAAGUCGAGCGGAGCGGCGGACGGGGGAGUAAUGCCUAGUAAUCUGCCUGGUAGUGGGGGAUCACGUCCGGAAACGGGCGCUAAUACCGCAUGAUAGCAGAUGAGCCUAGGUCGGUUUAGCUAGUUGGUGGGGUAAAGGCCUACCAAGGCGACGAUUCGUAAGUGGUCUGAGAGGAUGAUCAGUCACACUGGAACUUAGACACGGUCCAGACUCCUACGGGAGGCAGCAGUAGGGAAUAUUGGACAAUGGGCGAAAGCCUGAUCCAGCCAUGCCGCGUGUGUGAAGAAGGUCUUCGGAUUGUAAAGCACUGUAAGUUGGGAGGCGUUACCAACAGAAUAAGCAACGGCUAACUUCGUGCCAGCAGCCGCGGUAAUUC